GUCCCGGAAGGGGGCUGGGCGAGCUGCGCCAUGCGUGGCGUGCCGGGAUGCAGAGAAGGCACUUGGUGGCGGUUCUCGCGGCUGAAUUUGCUUGGGGUUCCUCAUUCAGCUGCCAUGUUAUGAGGACACUCAAGCGCUUCACAGAGAGGUCCACCUGACGAGGAACUGAAGCCUUCUGCAAUGGCCAUUGUUAACUUGGGUGUCAUGUGAAUGAGACAUUUUAGGAUUGGUCCCCCGGGCUCAGUCAGGACUGUAGACCCAGAUGUCUUGAUUGCAAGCUCAUGAGCCAAAACAGCCCAGCUAAGCCACUCCCAAAUCUCUGACCCACAGAAUCUGUGAGAUAACAAAUGUUUAUUAUUGGUUUAAACUGCCAAUUUGGAGAGUAAAAUGUCAUAUAACAAUAGGUAACUGAUAUACCAACCAAUAUCAAACAGGGUACAGACACUGGCUUUAGUGAUGUUUCAGCAUGCUGGAGGGUCCUCUGCUAUUUCAGGCAUUAAUCCUUUAGUUUGGGGUGAGUGGGUGAUUCUGAGUAAAUAAAUGGCUCUUUAUCAAUGAGAGCCAAGUACUUUGAUAAUAUAGAAACAAGUACAGCCAUACCAGUUACAUAGCAGUUAUGCUUCUGUGGCCUCGAGGCAUUGGGAAGCCCACCUGGUCUUCCAGUUGGCAGUAUUUGUCCAUGUUUCGCUCCACAAGCACCUCCCGUGACCCUCCUGACUACUUUUGGAUCACGUGGGAAUUCAAGGUUCCCCUCCAGCCAUACCUUCCAGCCUUUUAUUUUCCUGGGUGCUCUUACCUCCUUGAGACUCUGACUGGACAUAGGGCAUCUUUCCCUGGGAGCCACCAAACUCUGCUUUUAUCAACUCCCCUUGAUUCUCCUCUUCCUCUCCUCCUGCCCCCGUUUCCCAGCCCUGCGAGAGGAAUAUUUCAGUCUCGGGAGAUCCCCGCAAAUCCUCAGUGCUUUAUUCCUUAGGCAUUGUCAUGGUGUCGUACUUGUGAUUUAUCCAGAGGCACCUGUGUAUCUCCCCUUUUUUUUAGUUAGGUAACAUUUAUUGAGCCUUCAGUUGAACAGGAAAGACACUGUGUCACCCUCACAGCACAUUCCCAUUAGUAUUUGAGACCACAGAAGGUGGCUGGGAGCUCUGAGAGCAGCGCCGGCCCGGGUCUUGCUUUCAGAGGCAGUGGAGGGGCAUCCAGGAUGCACAUAGCACGUUAGGAGGCCGACCCCUCACCCAGCCCUCGUGCAGGACCAUGUAUUCUCUUGGAUGGGUUUUGAAAACUGAAACCAAAGAGAUGAGGUUUCUGCCUUCCCACUUUUCGCCCUCUGAGACAGUGAUUUGGUCUGGAGGAGAGUGAGGCAAAUUCCACUCUCAGAGAGAAUAUCACUUUUUGCCUCAAAAAUGUUAUCCCACUACCAUCUCAAGAGAAAUUAAUAUCUGCUCACUAAAGAACUGUCGUGUUGGCUGGGACAUGAUUGUUUCAUCAAAAUUCUAAUUAUAGUCAUUUGUUCUAACUCCAUGAUGACAAAGCAACCCUUUGGUUUGCUUUUCCAAGUACCUAGAUACCUUAAAGGAGAUACUUUGCUCACCAGGACAUUAUACCCUACUCAUAUUUUUUAUUGCUUUCCUGGAGAAAUCCUUGCCUGGCUACCCUAGAUGGGGGCUAGGGACCCUGCUCAUAUGCUUCAGUAUUCCAUGGCUUUCUUCUCCCUGAAAGCACUUAUUCCAUUGUAUUAUUAUCAUUACUUAUUUGUGUCUAUCACUAGAUUCUCAGCUCUAUUCGAAAGCUGCGUCAUGUUCAUGAUCUGUCACCAGCGACUCAGUCUUUAAGGAAAAAAAAGUCACUGAGCAUCUUGGCACAUGGUUCUCAGCUGGGACCUAUUACCCUCUUCAAGAUUUUUUGCUCCUUCCCAGUAAAUCUCUGAAGAAGUGAACAUAUUAGAAAGUGAGAACUACUGUAAUUUUGUUUAUUUUUAAAACAUGUUUGGUAGAGGGCUGCUCCACUCUGAUCUAAGAAGAAAAAUAAAAUUAAAGUUGAAGUAUCUCAUGA